rnacentral:rRNA from 1 species
UUUUAGAAGUUAAUUUAAAGUCUAACCUGCCCACUGAAUAAUUUUUAAAUGGCCGCAGUAUUCUAACUGUGCAAAGGUAGCAUAAUCAUUAGUCUUUUAAUUAAAGGCUGGAAUGAAUGGUUGAAUGAGGUAUUAACUGUUUCAUAUAAAUUUAUAAUAGAAAUUUAUUUUUUAGUUAAAAAGCUAAAAUAUAAUUAAAAGACGAGAAGACCCUAUAAAUCUUUAUAUUUAAAUAAUUUUAAUUAUGUAGAUUAAUUAAAUUAUAAUUAUUAUAAAUAUUUUAUUGGGGUGAUAUUAAAAUUUAAUAAACUUUUAAUUUAUUAUUUACAUUAAUUAAUGAAUUAUUGAUCCAUUUAUUAUGAUUAAAAAAUUAAGUUACUUUAGGGAUAACAGCGUAAUUUUUUUAGAGAGUUCAUAUUGAUAAAAA